ensembl:miRNA
UAGGCUGGCGCAAAAGUAAUUGUGGUUUUGGCCAUUACUUUCAAUGGCAAAAAUCACAAUUACUUUUGCACCAAUCUAAUA